UACGAAGGGGCUAGCGUUGCUCGGAAUCACUGGGCGUAAAGGGUGCGUAGGCGGGUCUUUAAGUCAGGGGUGAAAUCCUGGAGCUCAACUCCAGAACUGCCUUUGAUACUGAAGAUCUUGAGUUCGGGAGAGGUGAGUGGAACUGCGAGUGUAGAGGUGAAAUUCGUAGAUAUUCGCAAGAACACCAGUGGCGAAGGCGGCUCACUGGCCCGAUACUGACGCUGAGGCACGAAAGCGUGGAGAUCAAACAGG
rnacentral:rRNA from 1 species